GUUUUAGUAGAACUUUUGUAUAUUAUUAUUAUUUGUGAUUAUAUAAAAACAAUAAAGGGCAUAAAUGUUUUAUUUGCGUACAAAAUUCCUACAUGGCGGGCCGGUCCUGGUUCUUCUAGUCAUCUCUUGACUCUUUUUUUUCCGUCGUCUCUUGACUCUUAUCAUCCUCCAUUUCUUGAAAUUAAUGAGAUCACGUGUGACAGUUUAAUUUGUAUGAUUGAUUUAUUUAUGAUCAGUCUCUUAGUUGCAGACUUGCAGUGAUAUGUGUGCAAUGUGUGACUCAACAUUCCAUGAUACAAUAAUGUGGUUUUAAAAGAGGGCUAACAUCUUUUGAAAGAACGUGUUUUUUCCUCGUAAAAUAUAGUAUAUAUACUAAAAACCUUAAAUUAUCUUAAUAUAUGACAACUGUUUGUAUCUUUAGAAACGUGGUUUGUCAAAGACAUGUCAAAAGAAAUUAAACUCGGGUAAAUCCUUUGGCAUGCAGUUGGUGAACAUUAAUUAUCGAAUACAUCCAACCAAAGUGGUGUAGUUGUAUAUUUGUACUAGGUUAUGAACCCACGCGACGCAUGGGUCUAUUUGUAAAACUUUUAAUAAUUUUUUGUGUGACUAAAAUUCUUUAUUGAAAAUUUUGAAAGAUAUGUUUUUAUAUGUCUACUUGUUGUUAAUAUUAUAAACUCUUUGAUUUUUAAAA
rnacentral:sRNA from 1 species